rnacentral:snRNA from 1 species
CGCCCUUUGGGCCAUAUGGUCAACUGAAAAUAUACAGAGAAGAUUAGAUGACACGCAUAAUCAAAGAGAAGCUACCUAUUUUU